UACGGGGGGAGUAAGCGUUGUUCGGAUUUACUGGGCGUAAAGGGCGCGUAGGCGGUCGUGACAAGUCACUUGUGAAAUCUCCGGGCUUAACUCGGAAAGGUCAAGUGAUACUGUCGGACUAGAGUACAGAAGGGGCAACUGGAAUUCUCGGUGUAGCGGUGAAAUGCGUAGAUAUCGAGAGGAACACCUGCGGCGAAGGCGGGUUGCUGGGCUGAUACUGACGCUGAGGCGCGAAAGCUAGGGGAGCGAACGGG
rnacentral:rRNA from 1 species